UACAGAGGUCCCAAGCGUUGUUCGGAUUCAUUGGGCGUAAAGGGUGCGUAGGUGGUGGGGUAAGUCGGAUGUGAAAUCUCCGGGCUCAACCCGGAAAUGGCAUUGGAAACUACCUUGCUGGAGGAUUUGAGGGGGGAUUGGAAUACUUGGUGUAGCAGUGAAAUGCGUAGAUAUCAAGUGGAACACCAGUGGCGAAGGCGAAUCCCUGGAAAAUACCUGACACUGAGGCACGAAAGCUAGGGGAGCAAACAGG
rnacentral:rRNA from 1 species